rnacentral:misc_RNA from 1 species
CCUGCCUCCGCGCAAAGUAAAUCAGAUCUCAACAUGAAGCUGCUGUCGAUGGCACUGGCCUUGAUUGUGGCCCUGACUGGCCUUCUGGGCUGGACCAGCGCCAUGCCUGACCCUGACCCGGUGGCUGACCCUGACCCGGUGGCUGACCCGUCAAGAUUCUUCGGCGGGGGCGGUGGCUAUGGACACC